GAUGAACGCUGGCGGCGUGCCUAAUACAUGCAAGUCGAGCGAACGGACGAGAAGCUUGCUUCUCUGAUGUUAGCGGCGGACGGGUGAGUAACACGUGGAUAACCUACCUAUAAGACUGGGAUAACUUCGGGAAACCGGAGCUAAUACCGGAUGAUAUUUUGAACCGCAUGGUUCAAAAGUGAAAGACGGUCUUGCUGUCACUUAUAGAUGGAUCCGCGCUGCAUUAGCUAGUUGGUAAGGUAACGGCUUACCAAGGCAACGAUGCAUAGCCGACAUGAGAGGGUGACCGGCCACACUGGAACGGAGACACGGUCCAGACUCCUACGGGAGGCAGCAGUAGGGAAUCUUCCGCAAUGGGCGAAAGCCUGACGGAGCAACGCCGCGUGAGUGAUGAAGGUCUUCGGAUCGUAAAACUCUGUUAUUAGGGAAGAACAUAUGUGUAAGUAACUGUGCACAUCUUGACGGUACCUAAUCAGAAAGCCACUGCUAACUACGUG
rnacentral:rRNA from 1 species